rnacentral:ribozyme from 12 species
UAAAAAAAAAGAAAAAAAUAAAAUAAAAAUUCGUAUUUCUUCCGGCGUUUUUUGUUGUUGUGGCUCGCGUACAUAUGU